ACUUUUCAUCUUCUCAAGGAGGCGACACAUACCCUCUUCUUCACUGACCUCACAAACUUCCGCCAUUUCCUCUUCGCCUCGAUCUCCAUCUCACCGCGGACAACCACCUUGUUCUUCAUCCAAAACAACCCACCGUACUGGUCGUCCUCCGUCGUGUAUCUUUCUCUUCUGAUCCACACCCUCUUUCAACCUUUGAAUAAUGCCGUGAAACCUUAACACUUCCUCCAUUACCGGCGAAAUCCUCGAAUACUCUCCACUUCAACCCACCUCGCAACAACCAUCACCAACAUCCGCCGGAAAUCUCCACACAACGACCCUCCAUUUCAACUUCCGACGACCUCUCCAACAUCCGCCGACAACCUCCGCCAUCUCAACCGCCGGCAACGCUCCAACCACUUCCGGCGACGUCCACUCUAAGCGGCGCAAUCCCAAUCUAUAUUUACGUAAAUGUGGUUAUCUCUUCCUUUGUUUUCAAUUUUUUCUUUUUCUCAUUUUAAUAAAUAAAUUAUUAAUUGGUAUUAUAAUUUGAUUUGUUUUAAUACUGUAAGUUUAAUGAAGUAUCAUGAUAUAUAAAUUGGAUUUAUUUAUAACGUUGUUUUGUUUUAGGCUUAAUUAUAUGUUAAUGAGAU
rnacentral:lncRNA from 1 species